CUGUCAGACAACCAUGUAGCCAUGCCAGGACCCAUCAGAUGGAUUGGCAACGAUCAUCUACUGAGCCAUAGCCGAGACCAUGAAGCUCUGUUAAUCACGCUCUGGCUACAUGGUCGUGAUUCAUCAACCAGACAUGGGUUUCUGUCUUCUUAGGAAUCAAGAAUACAGAGGUACGAGCAUAUAGAACAGAUCCUGUUCAAGUAAGGUCGUGCUUAAUGGUCUCAACAACCAGAAUACAACGCCGAUUUAUCUGCACUUCAGAGGCGAUGUGGGAUGUCGCUUCUAGAUUCUUGGGUCUCCUUUGUUACCUUGUGUAUAGGGACUGGUAAGAAAUUAAGUGGAACUAAUUCACACACGUUUUAAUCUUUACUUACUUUUUAACUGUCUAUAUUUUUGGACAUUUCUCCCUCACUAAAUUAAAAAUAGAGAAAAUGACAAAAAUAGCCAUUUACACUAAUGAGAUUACAAAAAUAGCAAAAAUAAAAAAAAAUCAAAAUUAGAAAAUUAGCCCACAAUUUCGCAGAUGGAGAUGCCCCAUCUGCGAAAUCAGCAUCUCAUCUGCGAAUGUACAAGCACCUAAAGCAGAACUGUGCUUUAGGUGCUUUUAAUUUUUUUUUUUUUUUUUUUUUUAUAAGGGUAAUUUCGCAGAUGGAAUAGGUCCAUCUGCGAUUUACUCUCAUUCUAUUUGCGAAAUUGUGGUUUUUUUUUUGUAUUUUUUUUAGUUUGACUAUAAAAUGAAUUGGUUUGACUAUGAAAUCAUGUUGCUAUAUAAAAAGUUUUGUAGAAAAAUAUCAUUUUGGUUGAUAUUUGUUUAGGAACUUUCUCUACAAUUUGCUCAAAAAAUGAUUGAAUAUUUGGUUUGUCUUGUAACCGGUGGGAGAUGGCAAGUUAAUGGAACUUGAUUUAUAUAACAACCAAAAUGAUAUUUUUCUACAAAACUUUUAUAUAGCAACAUGAUUUCGUAGUCAAACCAAUUCAUUUCAUAGUCAAACUAAAAAAAAUACAAAAAAAAAUCACAAUUUCGCAGAUAGAAUGAGAGUAAAUCGCAGAUGGACCUAUUCCAUCUGCGAAAUUACCCCUAUAUAUACAGAAAAAAAAUUAAAAAAAAAAAUUAAAAGCACCUGCGAAUGUACAAGCACCUAAAGCACAGCUGUGCUUUAGGUGCUUGUACAUUCGCAGAUGAGAUGCUCAUUUCGCAGAUGGGGCAUCUCCAUCUGCGAAAUCGUAGGCUAAUUUUGUAAUUUCGAUUUUUUUGGCUAUUUUUGUAAUGCAAUUAGUAUAAAUGGCUAUUUUUGUCAUUUUCUCUUAAAAAUAUUAUAAUUAUAAUUAUUAAUAAAUCUAUCUCAAGUUAAUAUUUUAUUAAUAGAUAUUAUCUAUUUAUCUUUCUCUUUUGCGUAUAAUCAUAUAUAGUUUGAGUAUUUCAAUUUCUGUUAUUUAUUAGUUAUUACAAAUUUUAUCGUUUUUAAGAUUACAAAAAAAAUAAUUUUUUUUUAUUUUAAGAUUAACUAAAAUUUCAUAAAAAUUGCUUAUCAAUAUAAAAUCAGUAUUAGGGACAUUGGGAAUUUAAUUGCUCACAAUGUUAAAAGCUAUGCUUGACAUAAUAACUUAAAAAUUAACUAAUAGCUAAAAAGUUAAUUGAUAAUAUAUAGGCUAACUGAUAAAAAAUAACAUUUGCUAAAAAUAAUUAAUAAGUUAGUUUGAAAACGUCAAAUGACAUACAAAUGACAUACAUGAGGAUAUAGAAAAUGUAUUUAACAAACAUAGUCUAAAGCUCCAAUGGCAAUAUGAAAAAAGUCAUUGAACUUUGUUUUUGCCUUUAGAAAAUCAAUUGUUAAUAUANNNNNNNNNNNNNNNNNNNNNNNNNNNNNNNNNNNNNNNNNNNNNNNNNNNNNNNNNNNNNNNNNNNNNNNNNNNNNNNNNNNNNNNNNNNNNNNNNNNNNNNNNNNNNNNNNNNAUAUAUAUAUAUAUAUAUAUAAAGUGCUCAUGUGUAUACCAUAAAAAAAAUGUCAGUCUUGCAUAUUAAACCACUUCCUACUAAUGGAAGAUCUUAAGCCAUCAAUAUUCAUUUAUAAAAUAACAAGCACCAAAAUCCUCGCAAUCUAAAGACAACAAACAAGUGUUCCUCCUACUAAACACGAUCGAACAACCAAUUCACGUAUCCUCGGUGUCAGUGAACUAAAGCAACAAAGGGACACCUCUAAAAUCGAUUCUCCAUCAAGAUAAUACACCUACACAACAGAAAUACACAAAAUCUUAUUUGGAUGUGAUGACGGGUCAGUGUUGACACCAGAGCCGCCCAGUGGAGUGUCUCCCAUCAUCGCUUAACAGGAUGCAGUGUCCUGCUGCUCUGAUACCAUAAAGAACCGAAUAAAGGAAAAACAAUAAUUACAAGAAAUCGAUAUUGACAUUGGAUGAAGAAGGGAUGUAUAUAAUCCCAAAAGACAACCGGAGUACAACGAGAUUUCAAAUAAAAGGAUAAAACAACUAGUAAUUAUCUAAUGUGAUUAUCUAAUAAUGAAACGAUAAACUCCUUUUUUAUGAGGCUUUGCCAGAUUCAUGCACAGUAUAUGCUAAGUGUAGCUACUCGGGAGGGAUUACAAACAACUAUAAAUAACACCACCACAAAAUUCAAUGAGGGAACAAGUAAGCAACUAAGUUGAGGCUCAAAUUUCCCAAAGUAAACAAGAAGUCUGACUAUAGGUAUCAUAUGUCAAAAACUACACAUUUGUUGGUAUACCAUGUUCUUAUGUUAUCAAAUGUGGAUUGGGGAUAUUUGUUCAUCUAUUCAACAUUCAAAGGUUGCAUAUAACUCACCACACAAUCAAUUAAUCAUCAAUCUUAUGUUAUCAACACCAUCAAACUUCCUAGCUUCCAUCCAGAAGAGUUGGUAUAUAUUGAAAUCUGGUGUGUUUAUUUAAAGCAUUCCUUUUCUUAAAAAUCAUUUAUAUUAUUGAGAAGAAGAUUAUAUCAUUGCUUAAAAAUCAUUUAUAUUAUUGAGAAGAAGAUUCUCCAUCAAGAUAAUACACAAACACAGCAACAACAAUAACAAUACACAAAAAUCCUAUCCCACAAACACAAAGCUCCCACCACAUUUAUUUUAUUUAUUUCCACAUUCAGCUCUUAAAAAUGUGAUUUCAACUCAUGUCACAAGUGGCAUAUGAAUUGGACCCGAGGGGAAAAAUGGCCAUACAUAACAUAAGUACUGAUAGAGAAAAUGUUGCUUAAAUCUUGAGCAAUGUACAAUCGCUUAUACAUGAAUACAAGUCAUAGUAGCAUUAUUGUCUUUGAUUACCUUGUUACAGAAACUAUGAUUCCAAGUAUCAUAGUAGCAUUGUUGUUUUUCUUAGCUCGUUACAAUGCUAAUGGAACUUGAUGAAGCCAAAAUCAUACCAGAAAGCUCCAGCAUCAUAACCUGGUUCAGGCAUUUAAUCGAACACUUGUUUUGCAUAUACAAACUGGCCACAUAACCUGGAUGAGCAAGAAUAUCACGAAAAUGACAGCAUAAUAAAGACUCUUUGAUCAUAAUCUCCUUCAGGCAUUUCAUCAAACACUUGGUUUGCAUUAGAAAAGGGACCAAAAAAAAGAUGAAGUUAUCUGUCAGACAACCAUGUAGCCAUGCCAGGACCCAUCAGAUGGAUUAGCAACGAUCAUCUACUGAGCCAUAGCCGAGACCAUGAAGCUCUGUUAAUCACGCUCUGGUUACAUGGUCGUGGUUCAUCAACCAGACAUGGGUUUCUGUCUUCUUAGGAAUCAAGAAUACAGAGGUACGAGCCUAUAGAACAGAUCCUGUUCAAGUAAGGUCGUGCUUAUCAGUCUCUCCAACCCUCAAAUAUCGCCGAUUUAUUUGCACUUCGGAGGCGAUGUGGGAUGUCGCCUCUAGAUUCUUGGCUCUCAUGGAAUAAAGGGACUGGUAAGAAAAUUGAGGGGAACUCAUUCACACACUUUAAGCUUUAGUUACUUUUUAAGGGUUUCGUUUUUCCGUUUAAUAUUUUAUUAAAAGAUCUAAUUUAUUUAUCUUUUCCCAUUUACAUAUAAAAUCAUAUAUAGCAAAUUUUAUUAUUUUUAAGAUUAUAAAAAAUUUAAACAUCUUCUAUUUUUCAAAUAAACUAAAACUUGGUAUAAUAUUGUAGAGGCGGCGGUUCCAUGAACCACGACACGGAACAAAAAUUGGGACGGAAUUGAAAUUAUGAAAUCAUAUUUGUGUCGUUUUCAUGUUAAAUGUAAAACAUACUAUGUCAUGUUAUGUUAUAUUCGUCUUCAAAAUUCUACAUGAAAUUGACAAGUUAGUAACAUGUGUUUGUCAUAUUUUCUUAUUUUUCGUAUUGUAUAUUUUUGAUGUUUGCCAUUUUUAUCAUGUUUUAAUUGGGUCAUUAUCAAAUUUGUUGUUAGUGUCUCGAAAAGGAUUGCGGUGGAGAACCGCAUUUCCAAUGGAUCGUGUGAGUUCGCUGUUCAAGCUGAUAUUCUCACUCUAUGUCCGAGUCAUAGGAAAUUCAGUAUAGGAUAAUCCAAAAGGACAUUUGUGAAUCUAGUUACAAAGACACAAAUCAAAUUACUAGACGAUUUUGAGUUCAUUAUAGAACAACAAGAGCUGAGAGACAAGGGCAUAAUUCACGACUCAAUAGAGGAGUCGUAUUUAUUCUUUGACAAAUUAGAGUUUUUGUCUUCUACAUUAGUUAAAAGAAUCACCGACAAGGGCUCUGCCCCUUCCCGCUAGGAGGCGUUGCCCUUAGGACUCUGCAAAAGAGUGUGACCCCUUGACCUAUGUCAUUUUGUCGUAUCGGCUUAUAAUUAAAUCUUAAAUGCACUCCGCAUUCACUUAUAAAAUACAAAUAAUAAGUCAUUCAGCUCACAUAGUAGUUCCAAUUACACAAAAUAUCUUGCGAUACCAAAAUCACUAAACGUAUAAUAUGGAAUACAAAUAAUAAGUCUUUCAGUUUACAUAUUAGUUCCAAUUACACAAAAUAUCUUGCGAUACUAAAAUCACUAACAUUAAUAAACAAAACACAAUAUCAUAUUGUGUUCAUGUUGUAUAAAAGUUAUCGUGUCAGCAAAAAAAUAUAACACAAAUGAGUAUGAAAGUCCAAGAAAAAAAAAUCCAUUUGAAAGGUAAAAACAUCAUCUUUUGAAAGUAGAUCAUCAAUGUAAAGUCCAUAUUAAAGAGCUUGGGAAUUUAUUUGUUCGUGGUGCUUAAAAGAUCGCAUUUUUUUUUCUAAGGUGUGGGGAUCGGAGUAUAUCAUAAAGUGAUUGGACUUUGUUUUUGCCAUUAUGAGAUCGGUUAUUAAAAAAAAAUGUGCUCAUGUGUAUACCAUAAAAAGUGUCACUCUUACAUAUUAAACAACCUCCUACAAGCAAUUACUAACCAUAAAACCCUUUACUACGAAAUAACAAGGAACAAAAUCACCGAAAUUAAAAGACAACAAAUAAGCGUUCCUCCUACUAAACACAAUUGGACAACCAAUCUCGUAUCCUUGGUGUCAAUGAACUAAAGCAACAAAAAGCCAUGUUUUAAAAUAAACUACAAUUUUGUAUAAACAUAAUGAUGUCAAUUCAUAGCACGAAACGACAAAUAUGCACACGAUAGGAUGGAAUUGGGAUUUGAGUUCAUGUUCAUGUCAUUUUUAUGUCAAAUGUAAAAAACACGACGUCCUAUCGUGUUCAGAUUCUAUACGAAAUUGACAAGAUAGUACCAUGUGUUUGUCAUGUUUUUGUGUUUAUCGUGUUUUGUUGGAUUAAUUUUGAAUUGAAUGAACUUAAAGCUUAUUGUAUUGCAUCUUUUUUGUGUUUGUCAUUUAAUUGGUUUGUUUUCAAAUUAGUAGAACAAAACAUGACAUCAUAUCCUGCUUUGUGUUUGUGUUAAGCACGACAAAACUGUUUGAUUUGUCACCCCUUAAUAAUAUGUAUGAGAAGUCCAAGGAAAAAAUUUAUCCACUUGAAAGGUAAAAACCUCAUCAAUCCAUGUGACACCUGGCAUAUGAAUUGGACUUGAGCGCGACUCAUCAUCUGUACAUAAACAAUUACCAUCAUCUUUUAACAAAUUGCCCCACCAAUCGCCACAUUUUUUUCUCCCCUAACACGCCUUUGGCGGGAAAACAAUAGAUAUGCUCUUUUGUCUGUUGUUGAUCGGUUUCAUUUACUGUCCUUGAAUUAUAUGAAAUGGUGGUAAAUAAAGUGAGGUCGUUUGGACAUGUGAAUUUGUCGUCCACAAUUUUAGCAUUCUUUCUCCAUGCAAUCGCUAAACUCGGGGGAAAAUGCCCUUUAUUGGUUUUAGAUUUUCACUUGUAUAAAAAAUAAGAAAUUUCCAUCCAAUCUCUACUCUUUAGUGGUACAAAUUUGCUUCCCAUAUAACAUGGUAAUUAAGUCGCCAGGAGAUACGUAACCAUACAAAGCAGAAACAUCCAAAACCUAUAAACUGUUUUCCGUAAGUCAUAAAAUAAGAAUAUAGAGUAUAGAUUAUAAACAACAUUAUCAAAUUGAGAAAAGUGAUCCUACAAUUUUAAUGAUAAGAUCCAUUCUUUAAAGAAUUCAUAAACUUAUUAUCAACACCCACAAAGAUUACAAACUUCCAAGCUUCAAACCAGAAGAGUUGGCAUAUAUUGAAAAGUUAGGGUGCUUAUUUAAAGCAUUAUUUUCCUUACAAAUCAUUUCUGUUCUUCAAGUACAUAAGAAAGUUCAUAAAAAAUUGUCAUAUUUCUAUUCCAUAAGCAAACAGAUUAUAACAUUGUUUAUUUGAUUUCCUGAGUUUGUUUACAGGUUCAAAGUCAAUGUAAAAAUCAUAUACAAGAAAGUUGGGCAUUUCAUCGAACACUUGCUAUGCAACCAAAAAGAUAUAGUUGUCUGUCAGACAACCAUGUAGCCAUGCCAGGACCCAUCAGAUGGAUUGGCAACGAUCAUCUACUGAGCCACAGGCGAGACAAUGAAGCUCUGUUAAUCACGCUCUGGUUACAUGGUCGUGGUUCAUCAACCAGACAUGGGUUUCUGUCUUCUUAGGAAUCAAGAAUACAGAGGUACGAGCCUAUAGAACAGAUCCUGUUCAAGUAAGGUCGUGCUUAAUGGUCUCAACAACCAGAAUACAACGCCGAUUUAUCUGCACUUCAGAGGCGAUGUGGGAUGUCGCUUCUAGAUUCUUGGGUCUCCUUUGUUACCUUGUGUAUAGGGACUGGUAAGAAAUUAAGUGGAACUAAUUCACACACGUUUUAAUCCUUACUUGCUUUUUAACUGUCUAUAUUUUUGGACUUUUCUCCCUUACUAAAUUAAAAAUAUUAUAAUUAUAAUUAUUAAUAAAUCUAUCUCAAGUUAAUAUUUUAUUAAUACAAAUUAUCUAUUUACCUUUCUCUUUUACGUAUAAUCAUAUAAAGUUUCAAAAUCUGUUACUUAUUAUCUAUUUAAAUAUUUAUCUUUCUCUUUUAGCCCACCCAUCACAUUUUUUUUUCUCCCCUACACACCCUAGGUGGGAAACCAGUAAAUAUGCUAUCUUGGCUGUUGANNNNNNNNNNNNNNNNNNNNNNNNNNNNNNNAAAUGAUUUAUAUAUAUAUAUAUAUAUAUAUAUAUAUAUAUAUAUAUAUAUAUAUAUAUAUAUAUAUAUAUAUGGUAGUUAUACUCAAUGACCAAAAAUGUAAUUUUCUCUAUAUUAUUAUUAAAGUAUAGGUGGUAAAUUACCAUGAGGCUUUGCCAUGCACAGUAUAUGCUAUGUGUGGCUACUCGGGAGGGAUUACAAACAACUAUAAGUGGAGGCUCAAAUUUCACAAAGUAAACAAGAAGUCUGACUAUAGUUAUCAUAUGUCAAAAACUACACAUUUGUUGGUAUACCAUGCUCUUAUCUCUUUUAAAAUUGUAAUUUUUAACAUCUAGUAAAUAACAUAGCAAACUCCAUGCUCUUAUCUCUUUAAGUAAACAAGAAAUCCGACUAUAGUUAACAUAUGUAUAGUUUUGAAUAUUUCAAUUUUUGUUACUUAUUACCACCAAUCUUUUUAUUAGAAAAAAUUAUUUAGAGCAAAUUAUAUAGCUUUUAAGAUGAUAAAAAAAUUAAAUACUUUUUAAUUUUAAAGUAAAGUAAAAUUUCGUAUAAUAUGUAUGAGAAGUUCUAGAAAAAAAAUAUAUAUUUAUCCACCGAAGUCUUACAUAUUAAAUAGCUUUCUAUUAGCAAUCCAACAUUUGAUCUUAAACCAUAAAACCCUUUAUGAAAUAACACGCAAUAAAUCCUCGAAAUCAAAAGGCAACAAAUAAGCGUUUCUACUACUAAAUAAAGAUUAACGUGAUUGAAUUUCUUGAUCCGCUCAAUAAACAUUGACCAUAUAAAUAUACAAUUGGGAUCCUAUAACUAUGGAAAGUUAUACAGAUGCAAUAUGAUCUAUCCCUUAUAUAUGUCGACUAAGAGUCCCCCGCAGUUUGAGCGGGAGGAAGUCAGAUGCUCAAAUUGUCACUGAAAUCCAGGAAUAGUUGUCUGGGUAAACAUUUUGUGAAGAUGUCUGCAUAUUGGUAAGCGGAAGGAACAUUAAGAACUCGUAUUUGGCCAAUUGCAACUUUUUCACGAACAAAGAGUAUAUCCAUUUCUAUGUGUUUGGUGCGCUGAUGUUGGACAGGAAUACAAGAUUACCGGAUAAAUAGACGACAGAGAUAUUAUCACAAUAGAUGAUGGUGGCCUACUGCAACGGAGUGUGUAGCUCAAGCAGGAUGUUACGGAGCCAACAAGCUUCGACAACUACAUUUGCAACACCGCGAUAUUCUGCUUCAGCGUUGGAUCGAGAGAGAGUGGUCUGUCGCUUAGCAGACCAUGAAAUGGGAUUAUCACCAAGAAAUAUACAAUAGCCUGAAGUUGAUCGUCUAGUGUCGAGAUAACCGCCCCAAUCAUCAUCAGUAUAGGAAACAAGUUGUGUAGAAGGAGAACAAGGAGAACAAUGCAGUAUCAAACCAUGCGUCAGAGUACCCUUAAGAUACCGAAGAAUACGCUUUAGCGCAUUAAGAUGAGGGAGCUUUGGGGCGUGCAUAAAUAGACAUAUUUGCUGAACAACAUAGGCAAUAUCAGGACGUGUAAAUGUGAGGUAUUGCAGAGCGCCUGCUAAGCUACGAUAUAGAGAUGGAUCAGACACUGGUUCACCAUUAUGAAGACUAAGAUUGGAGUUGGUGUUAACUGGAGUAGCGACAAGCUUACAUGCUUCCAUGUUUGCACAUCUAAGUAUCUCUUCGAUAUACUUGUGCUGUGACAAAAACAUGCUAUUGUUGGUACGAGUGACAGAGAUGCCCAAAAAAUAAGACAAGAAGCCAAUAUCAGUCAUGUCAAAUUUAUGUUUUAAUCCGGUGAUGAGACGUAUCUUGAGUGCGGUGGAGGAGGUGGUCAAGACGAUAUCGUCGACAUAUAGAAGUAGGUAGGCGAUGUCAUUUCCCUGUCUAUAGAUAAACAAAGAAGUGUCACUUUUGCUGCACACAAAGCCAAUAGUUAGGAGAUAAGAUGCAAAACGUUGAUACCAAGCACGUAGUGCUUGUUUUAAACCAUAAAGAGACUUGCGCAAUUUACAAACAUGAGUAGGAUAGCGUGAAUCAAAAAAUUCCGGUGGUUGGUGCAUGUACAUCGUUUCUUGCAAGUUCCCAUGUAAAAACGCAUUUUUAACAUCCAAUUGAUGAAUGUCCCAACUUCGUCCCAAUGCAAGACUAAGAACUGUUCAUAUUGUGGCGGGCUUGACGACUGGACUGAAUGUUUCGUCAUAGUUGAUCCCAACUUCUUAUGUUUUUCCAUUUACAACGAGGCGCGCCUUGUAUCGUUCCAAUAAGCCAUCCACCUUAAACUUAUGGCGAAAUAGCCAAUGACAAUGAAUUAUAUUGUGAUUCGUUAGUCGUGGCACAAACUCCCAUGUUCCCUGUUUCAAUAAAGCAUUAUAUUCUGUUUGCAUGGCAUCGAGCCAAUUUUGAUCCGUAAGGUCAGCCCUAGGGUUUGGUGGUAUAGGUGAAACGUAUUUGAGUGUGUAGAGUAAAUAUGGUUUUGGGUUUGACAAUCACACUUUUCGACCGUGUUUACAUGUAUGAUGUUGGUGGUGGUGGUGGUGACGGUGAUGGUGGUGGUAGCGAAGAUGGUAGGGGAGUAGGUGAAGGUGAUUGAGGAGGUGAAGGGGGAAGGGUGGGGGAGAAUUGGUUGAUGGGAUAUUGUUAGUGGUUUGUGGACUAGGUGGAGGUGAAGGGGGAUGGGUGGGGACUACUGAGGAGCCAUGGUUGGGGUCUGAGGUUGGUAGUAGGUCAGGGUUAGUGAGAUAUGGAGAUGGAUCAGUGGCAUCUAAAAAGUCGUAUGAUUCGGAUCAGUAUUUGGUGAGAUGAGAAUAUGGAAAAAUAUGCUCGUGAAAGGUGACAUGACGGGAGAUGAUAUGUUUGGCGGUAGAUAGAGAGAGGCAAAGAUAACCUCGAUGGUUGUCAUCAUAGCCAAGAAACACACAUGGUUGGGAGCAUGGUGUGAGCUUGUGAGGGACGGUGGAGGAGGCAUUCGGGUAGCACAAACAACUGAAGGUGUGUAGGUGUUUAUAUGUUGGUUUUCGUAGGUAAAGUAUUUCUGCUGGUGUUUAAUUUUUAGUUGCUUAGGAUGGCAAGAUAUUGGUGAGGUAAGUGGAUAUGUGAAGGGCAUAAUUCCAAUAGGAGGGAGGAAGAGAGGCGUGUAUAAGGUUAGUUCAAAUCAUGUUAUUUAGAGUCCGAAUGAUACGUUCGGCUUUACCGUUUUGAGAGGAUGUAUACAGACAGGUAAACCAUAGUUGUAUACCAUGGUUUUUACAAAAAUCUUUGAACAACCUGUUUUCGAAUUCGCAACCAUUGUCGCAUUGGAAAGAUUUAAUGGUGGUGGAGAACUGGGUUUGAAUUUGAUUUUGAAAGUAAAGAAGUGUAAGAAAAGUUUCAGAGUUUGCUUUUAAAGGGAAUGUCCAUAUGUAGUGGGAAAAAUCAUCAAGUAAAACAAGGUAAUAUUUGUGGUUUAGUUUGCUUGUUAUGGGUGACGUCCAUAUGUCGGCAUAUAUGAUAUCAAAAGGUAACCGUCAAUGUUUUCCCAACGAGCAUGCAUUACAAGAAAACGAAUUGUUUUUAAUGCUAGGUAAUGAAAGACAAGAAUUUAAAUGCUGUAAAUUGGAGACUGCAGGAUGACCUAGACGGAUGUGUCAUAUGUUGGGAGACACAGUGCGAUGAACAAUUGGAGGAUGCUCGUGUGCGGAGGAUGGUGUGAGUGGGUAUAGGUCACCCGGGAUAUCACAUCAGGUGAUAGGUGUCUUCGUGGCUAGAUCCUUCACAAUAAAACCCGUAGUGUCAAAUUCAACAUAUGUAUUAUUAUCACGGUUAAACUUUUUUACUGAAACAAGGUUUUUAAUAAUGUUGGGAACAUGGUAAACAUUGUUAAGUUUGUAAGGAUGGUUAAGGUGAUAGCAUUUCCACGACCAAGAAUUGGGACUCGAGUGCCAUUACCAACAAGAAUAUAGUUAUUAUUAUUGAAACAAGAAUAGUUUGAGAGAUUACCCGUGUCGCUUGCGAGGUGCGAAGUAGAGCCCGUGUCCAUAUACCAAGAUCUAUCCGGAUGAUGCAUCUACAUGGUGUGGAAGGUUGCGGCAAGCUCAGUGGGUGUCAUUGGAUUGCUGUGGGCCAACUGUUGGUUUGUGGUGAAGUUGGCGUGUGCCGCAAUUUGGUCCGGUUGCUGUUGGGUUGCUGGGGGUGGUAAGUGGGUCUAAGGCCCAUAAUUCCAGCCUAAGAGGAUGCUAUUGGAUACGAGGAUGGGGGUGCAGCCCAAGGGUAAGGUGGAAACCAUUCAGGCCAUUGUCAGGUUGGGUGGUAGGAUGAUGAUCGACCGUUUCCUCGAGCGUGUCCUCUGCCGCCACGAGGCCACCUGCUACCGCCACGGUAUCUGCCACAAGCUUGACCAUGACCACUAUAGCCAGAGUUUGGUGUAGAUGAUAUGGUAGGUGUAGUCAGUUUAGAUUGUUGAGUGACAAGAGCGUGGGGAGUGGUGGAAUUGUGUAACACCCCGAGUUCAGAAGUGCAAGUUCAGGGUGCUGGGUGUAAUUAAGGAGGAGCGACUCGGCGAGUCCAUGGAUAGACUCGGCGAGUCGAGUCGCGAUUUUGGUCGCGUNGUGGCCCAACUCGGCGAGUCGGCAGCUGGACUCGGCGAGUUGGUGCUGAAGGGAGAAAAACCCUAAUCAGGGGUUUGUGUCAUAUAUAAAGCACAUUAUAGCCACCCUCAGCCUCUUUACCUUCCCUUUUAGUUCCAGAAAACCCUAAUUCGUGAGGAGACCCCAUUAUUGAGUGAAUUGGAGCUUGGAGGAGGAUAUUUGGUAUUUGAAGCUUAAAGGUUUGGAGGCUUGUAUCAGGAAGCUUGGGGAGAUCAGAAAUCUACAGUUGGUUGGGCUAAUUUCAAGGGUAAGGAACCAUUUCCUUAAGCUAUUUCUUCAUGGAUUCAUGUAUGGUGAUUGAUAUGAGAUCUAAUUCGAGAUAGAAGCUUGGAUCAGAGGAUGCUACUUCAGAUCUAAGCUUGUGAUGGUCCUAUAUGUCAUAAAGUUCCUGUAUAAGAGUUGUUGGUGAAGCCCUUUUGUCCUUAGCCUUAGCCUUAGAGUGUUUUGAGCUUAUAUCUCCUUGGUUUCACGUAAACUUUGCAACUUUAUGUGAGGGCUAGGCUGUAGAAGAGUGGAUCUAUAGAUUUGAGUCCCUGCAUGGAUUAAAAAGCCUCUGUAUGGAAUGAGAACUGAAGAGACUCGGCGAGUUCCAUGGGUGAACUCGGUGAGUUGGAUGAAGGUGUGCAUGAACUCGACGAGUUAGAAGAACAACUCGGAGAGUCUGUUGAAUAUUGCCUUGGACUCGGCGAGUCUGGUCGUAGAGUCCUAACCUUUUUCUGGUUGAAUGGUGAAUCGGUGAGUCGAGGGAUGACUCGGUGAGUUGAGCGAGAAGGAACUCAGAAUUGUGGGACUCGGCGAGUCGAUGGGGCGACUCGGCGAGUAAGGUCACACAGGAAGGUGGACUUGGACUGAGGACUUUGACUUUGACCAAGAGUUGAUCAGUUGACUUCCAAGGGUAUUUUGGUAAUUAUUGGUAUUUAUUGAGUUCAGUCAUUUGAUAUUGAUCAGUGGUGGAGUUCGUGUCGAAGGUUGGAACAGCAUGAUCUUAUCUCUUCAAUGAGCAGUUGCGAGGUGAGUUAUCAUCACUAUAUCAACAGGGUCUAUGGCACCAAGGCCGACCCUUUAUCGGAUGGAAAUCCGGGUAGUUGUUAUGUUAUUGCUUUGCUAUAUGUUUGCAUCCUGGUAGUUAGGAUGGUAUAUGUUAGAGACCUGGUUAAGGUCGGAAUCCUGGUAUAUAGGAUGAUGCUAUGUUAGUGACCGGUUAGGUCGGUAUCCUGGGUAGAGUGUGUUAUGUAUGUGAUCUUCUAGAUCGGUUGAUUGGUGAUAAAUUGCUAUAUGAUUAUAUGUUUAUGUGCACAUGGUUGGUUGACUGGGGUUGGGUUGAGGCGGGUCCUGCUUUGUGUUGUAGGCCAACAUACCCAGGGUGAACCGGAUAUCCCGUAGGCCCAGCGAGCGGUCUGGAUAGGCUGUAGGCCCCACGAGGGCGGACCAGACGUGCCGAGGCUCGGAGAGUGGACCAGGCUGACUGAAGGCCCGGCGCGGGCGGACCAGUCAUACUAUAGAAUUAGAGAGUUGACCAGGUGGGUUGAAGGCCCGGUGCGGGCGGACCAACCACACUGCAGACUCGAUGUAUGUUGCUAGACUCGGAGGGUGGACUAGGUCGGUGCGACGGACCAGUCACACAGUAGACCCGAAGUGCAUGGCUGUUCUGUUUAUGUUAUGAUAUGUUAUGAGUAGGGUAUAUGUGGUUGGUAUUUUGGGGGUAACUCACUAAGCUUUCGGGCUUACAGUUUUCAGUGUAUUGUUUCAGGUACUUCAGGAGAUCGUGACAAGGCGAAGGCGUGAUCGUACCGCUCCUCAUAUUUUAUGUAUUUAUGAUGUGGUUCUGGGAAAUACUCUGAUAAUAAAUGAAUUGAAAACCUUUUUGUAAUGAAUUAAUGAAUAUGGGUUGUUUUUGAAAAGUUUAAAUUGGUUGAAAAAUUCUGGAUGUUACAAAUUGGGUUUGUUGCACCGUGUUUCUUCAAGAAGGAGGGAGUAUUUCGCUUUGUUGAAAGUGGGGAAGGGGUCGGUCUAUUGAAUGGUAGUGGCGAAAUUGUCAUACUCACCUUUGGUGAGACCGAAAACAAGUUGAAGGACCAUAUUGGUUUCGGAUACAGGGUGCCCAACAUUCUCCAGUUGAUCUGCAAGGUUUUUGAGUCGAACACAAUAAUCUGUGAUAUUGGAGAAAGAAGAGAGGCGAGUAUUAUUGAAUUGUUCCUCAAGAUAAACGGCGCGAGCGGUUCGAUUAUUGAUGAAAAUUACUUGAAGGUGUUUCCAGAGAUGAAGGGCCGAGGCACCUGGUUUCAUGAUUGUGUGGGCAAGUUCGGGAGAGAUAGUGCUAUAGUAUUUUGUUUGACAAGAGCAUCAAGACGAUCCCAUGUGGUGUUGUCAACAUUGGUUGGUUUUUCUGCCUCUUCAUCGAUGUGAUCUUUGACAUUGUAAGCACAAACGUGAACGCUAAAGAAUUCCACCCAUGAUGCAUAGUGAUCAUCAGUUUGAUUGAGGAUGAGGGGUAUAGCAUUCUUGAUGUUACUGACUGUGAAAGUUGAGUGGAAGUUAGUUUUGGGAAUGGAUAUAUCACUUUCUGUCACACCCCCGAACUGUCAGAACAGACGGCGGAAACGUCCGGGGGCAGGUGACGUCAUGCGUAGUAUCACAACAAUCGUAUCAUAGUAAUCAAGUAAACACAACCAUUACAUUUCAUAUGAAUAUUUACAUAUGUUUGAAAAUAUAGCUUGUAUACAUCAAAAUGUGACAAAAGUAAAAGACGUGACUCCAUGAUGCUCCGUCUUCUCCAAAAGUUGGCGAGGGUACCUGUCUAUUGAUGUCCUAAGAAUACAAGCGGUUUUGAAAGCAUAUCAACAUAAAGCUGGUGAGUUCAUAAGCAUGUUUUUGUAUUGAAAACUAGUCACUGAAUUUAUACAAAUGAUUUAUUAUCAUUGUAAGUAAAAUAUCGUUUGUAUCAAAAUCCUGGUUACCCCCAGUAUGUAAAAUGUAUUUUGUUUGACAACCAUGGCUACCACCAGUAAGUAAAGUAUGCUCUGUUAGGAAACCCUGGCUACCACCAGUAAGUAAAGUAUGUUCUGUUAGAAAACCUUGGCUACCACCAGUAAGUAAGUUCUUGUUUGAAAGACCCUGGCUAUCACCAGUAAGUAAGGUAGUUUUAUUACUUAAAUUAAAACCAAAUGUUGUAUCCCUGGAAUACCCUCCAGUGUAGUAUGUAGGUAGUCUUAUUACUUAAAAUAAAACUAUUGAAGAAUGAAAAUCCCGUAAACAAAGGUUAGUUUAUACUAUUGUGAGUUCGUAUAACCAUGUUAAUAUGACUGAUGACCUCCAUGACGUUUCUUCAGGCGUUGUAUGUUACAAAAUUUGUCACCCCAAGCAUGUCUGUCUAACAGUAGCUAACAGUUCAGGUGUGGGAUUGUCGGUCCCGAAUAGAUCUAUUCACAAAUCUCACGCUCUCCCUCCAGGAGACUCUGGUUAUACUAAAAGUAGAGGAUUUACCAGUACCCCGAAUGGUACAAUGAAGAGAUGUCUCACAAUCCUGUAUUAACUAGUUUAUGUGUUGUUCUGUUGGUCACAUGUUUGAAAUCAUUUGUGUAAUGUGUAGGGUAUAAAUAACUAUACGCAAAGUAAUUAUUUUAGUAUGAUACUCUUGUUAUCUGUGUGUAAUAAUAGAUAAACCAAAUAUGUCAUAGUUUAUGUGUUCGACUUUGUACGUAGUUUGAAUCUGUAAAAUUGGUAAUGAAUUCCCUAAACUAUACCUAUUAUAGUUUGACUGGUAUGUUAUGUUCAUGUACUUGUUCUGAAAACUAUGCAAUUAUGUUUAGAAAACAUCCCUUAUGCUUUGCAUAUUACAAAAGGGAUAAAGUAUUUAAAUGUUUGAUAUAAAACAGUUGAAAUUGCAUCAGUUUUGACUUAUGAAAACCUUUAUGUUUAGCUUGUAUUCCCCCCCCCCCCCCCCCNNNNNAACGUUUUAAAACUAUAAAAGUGUAAGGGUAUGAACUCAUAGUUUGUUGGUUACAAAGGAUUGAACUGAAAGAUCCUCGAGUCGAUGCACGUGGCACUUAACGGAAUCCUAAUAUCAGUGAAUACAUAUAUGUAUCUAAAUUAGCGAUUUCGUUAGAUAAAAUGUCAGGUAAACACUUGGUUUCGGUUAAGGAAUGUUACCGGGACUUGGUUGAAUCGAGGAAACAGGCUUUUCACCACUUAAGAGCUGUUUACGGCCGUGAACUGGGUUUGCAGCCGUGAACUGGGUUUGCGGCCGUGAACAGGGUUUACGACCGUGAACUGAGUUUGCGGCUUUUGAAGAUUAAAGGGUUUACGACCGUAAACUCAAGAACAAGGGUGCUUGUUUUCGAUGAAAAAGUGUUCCAUAUGCUCCCAAACGGCUCCAAAUGACGAUUUCCGGCGUUUUUCGGGUGAAAGGAGGACUUUUUGGUGUUUACGGUCAAGAGAGUUAGAGAGAGAAAGUGGGUGUUUCCGGCCAAGAAAGUUCAAAUGAGGGUGGGGGUCCUAUAUUUAUAAGUCAGGGGUAUGGUCAGUAAUGGGGUCCACCUGGCACCGAUCGCAAACAGGUUGACGACUGUAAACUCGUUCUAGCCGUGAACACGUCGAAUUUUCGAGAAAUGUGGGUUUUUCGCGCGAUUUUUGAUUUUUCCGACUCGUAUAGAAUUAUAACUAUAACCUUAGUUGAUUUUCUAACCCAAGAAGUUGACGGGAAAUUCAAUAAAAUUAAAUUUUAUUAACGGAGAUGGGUUAAAAAUAACGGAAGAAAUUUUGGGUUGUCACGCUUUCACCCAUGAUCGAUCAAAGAAACAAGAGAAGAAGAAAGAUGAUAGAGGGAGAUAGAGUGGGUUAGGCCAGAGAAAGCUCUAAUACCAUAAAGAUUAACGUGAUUGAAUUUCUUGAUCCGCUCAAUAAACAUUGACCAUAUAAAUAUACAAUUAGGUCCUAAAACUAUGNAUAUAUAUAUAUAUAUAUAUAUAUAUAUUAUACAAAUACAAUAUGAUGUAUCCUUUAUAUAUAUGUCGACUAAGACUAAACACAUCGAACCACCAAUUCCUGUAUCCUCGGUAUCAAUGAACUAAAGCCACCUUUGACCUCUAAAAUCGAUUCUCCAUCAAUAUAUAUACAUAUACGCAACAACAAUGCCAAUGGACCUUGAUGAAGCCAAAAUCAUACCGGAAAGCUCCAUCAUCAUAAUCUCGUUCAGGGAUUCAAUCAAACACUUGUUUUGCAUAUACAAACUGACCACAUAACCCGAAUGACCAAGAACAUCAUGAAAAUGACAGCAUAAAAAAGACUCUCUUUGAUCAUAAUCUCCUUCAGGCAUUUCAUCAAACACGUGGUUUGCAUUAGAAAAGGGACCAAAAAGAUUAAGCUAUCUGUCACACAAACAUGUAGCCAUGCCAGGGACCAUCAGAUAGGUUAGCAACGAUCAUCUACUGAGCCAAGGCCUAGACCAUGAAUCUCUAUUAACCACGAUCUGUUAAUCACGAUCUGGCUACAUGGUCGUGGUUCGUGCCUCUUGGCCAGGCAGCCUUGUCCAGCUCCUUUGGGUUGGCCCGAAGCGUGACCUAAUUGUCCAUUAUAAAGUUAACAAUACCUCCUCCAUGGGGAGGGACCUUACCUUUGGGCUCUACCACCACUCUCCACCUUCAGCCACCACGUUUCUAAUAGCUUUGCUCUGUGUUCUUAGAUCCUCGUUGUAGUAGCAGUCCAGAAUACCUCCUAUAGGCUAUAUUCAUGUGAAUAUAUAUAACAUUUCGGUAUCCUCAAGAGAUUUGAGUCGCAUCAUUCGCGAUAUUUAAGACCAACUUCAACCUUAAGACACAAUAUUAUGGAUCUUGGAAAUGGUCCAAGUCUCUUAUGGUAAUUUUGAAAGAUCAAUUUUUUUUUUCAAAGAAGAGGGUGUGUAGGAUCAAAAUAUAUCAUGAACGAGUUGGAAGAAAGUGAUUGCACUUUGUUUUUGCCUUUAUAAAAUCAAUUGUUCUAAAAAGAAAUAUAUAAUGUUCAUGUGUAUACCUUAAAAAAUAUGAGUCUAACAUAUAAAACAACUUCCUACUAGCAAAUUGUUCUUAAACAAUAAAACACUAUGAAAUAACAAGUAACAAAAUCCUCGAGAUCAGAAGACAACAAAUAUGCGUUCCUCCUACUAAACACGAUCGAACAACCAAUUCCCGUAUCCUCAGUGUGAGUGAACUAAAGCAACAAAGAGUCACCUCUAAAAUCGAUUCUCCAUCAAGAUAAUACACUUACAUAACAACAACAAUACACAAAAAUCUAAUUAGUUAUAUGUGAUAUUAAUGAUAUUUUAAUUGAUAAUAUAUAAUCUUUUAGACUACAUACCGGCAAACUAUUUAAAAGAGCCAACAUCAAUGACACAUGAAAGGUAUUCACCAACUUCUCCACUACAACUGGAAAAUACACAACACCAUAAAACCAACGAGACUGAUAGUUUGUUACCCUAAUCCAACGUGUCAUUGACAUCAUAUCACCUACAAACACAAAACUCCCACCACAUUUAUUUUCUUUAUUUCCAUACUCAGGUCUUGAAAAUGUGAUUUCAACCCAUGUGAUACCUGGCAUAUGACAUAUGGACUGGACUCGACGGCUCAUCCUAUGUACAUAAACAAUUACCAUCAUUUUUUUACCAAAUUACCCCACCCAUACCCACAUUUUUUCUCCCCUAAUAUGCCAUUGAACGGAAAAGUAUAGAUAUGCUCUUUUGUCGAUGAUCGGUUCCAUUUACUGUUCUUGAAUUACAUGAAAUUGUAGUAAAUAAAAUGAUGUCAUUUGGACAUAUGAAUUUGUUGUCUACAGUUUCAGCAUUCUUGCUCCAGUCAAUCAGUAGUACAUUUGGGGCAAAAUUCCCUUUAUUGGUUUUAGAUUUUCCUUGUAUAAAAAAUAAGAAAUUCCCAUCCUAUCUUUAUUCUUUAGUGGUACGAAUUUGCUUCCCAUCUAACAUGGUAAUUAAGUCGCCAUGAGAUAAGUAACCAUACAAAGCAGAAACAUACAAAACCUGUAAAAUGUUUUUCCAUAAGUCAUAAAAUAAGACUAUAGAGUAUAUUAUAAACAACAUUAUCAAAUUGAGAAAAGUGAUCCUACAACACCAGUGGAACUUGAUAAAGCCAAUAUCAUGCCUGAAAGCUCUAUCUGGUCAUAAUCUCCUUCAGGCAUUUCAUCGAAAGAUAGGCUUAUCUUUCUGGCAACGAUCAUCUACUGAGCCAUAGCCUGAUAGCCGAGACCAUGAAGCUCUGUUAAUCACGCUCUGGCUGCAUGAUCGUGGUUUCUGUCUUCUUAGGGAUCAAGAAUACAGAGGUACGAGCCUAUAGAACAGAUCCUGUUCAAGAAAGGUCGUGCCUAGUUGUCUCAACAACAAGAAUAUAACGCCGAUUUAUCUACACUUCGGAGACGAUGUGGCAGUGGCGGACCUAUGUAGGGCAUUUGGGGUCCCGGGCCACUGCUCAAUUUCCGGCACGCAGUGUAAUUUUUAUUGUUUUUUUUUUUUUUGGUUUUUUCUAUUAGGUGCACCCGCUUGAAGUACAAGGGACACCCCUACUAAAACAGUUUGCGCCCGCCACUGCGAUGUGGGUUGUUGCUUCUAGAUUCUUGGGUCUCCUUU
rnacentral:lncRNA from 1 species